ensembl:lncRNA
CACCAAUCCACACCAUCCAUGAUGCCAUCUCCUCAUCCUGCCGUCAUUUCACACCAAAAAGGGGUAAUCCACCGUGUGGGUUCAAAAAAGAAAUACAAUCCGAAAGGAAGUGCAAAUAUAUGUUUCAGAUUUUAUAAAGUAUUACAUUAGUGUAGCUAAAUGGGCAACAUUUAGGAUUGAAAUAUUAUGUUUAUAUGUUUAAUCAACAGAGAAACAAACAUCGCUAUAGCUUAACUAAACGUUCACAUAUGAAAUUGUUUUAUUAUGUGUAGUUUCUAAUUUAGUUUUUUAAUUAUGACCUGGUGACGUAUAACGUCACAUAGCGUCAACAUAAUGACGUAUCAACAGCUAAUUAACGCUAAGCUAACUAACGUCCGUUUUAGUUCAGAGUUAGCACUAACUUAGCUAGCUAGCUAGUGGAAAAAAAAGUCAUGUUAAUCGUUAACUAACUAAUGCGAACGUAUUGUGGCUCUCUUAAUUAAAAUAGACUAGUGGAGUUUUCUUCCAACCUAAAAGUAAUGACACGUUUUAAAGCCGUGUGCAGGUGAAACAGUUUCUUUUAAAUUCUGAGCUCUUGACAGCAGCAGAUUUCUGUUUGACUGUUAGCUUAGUUAGCUAAUUUGCUAAUGUAGCUAGGUGUGAAAAUGAGCGACCAACUCUCACUUAGUAACAUCGACAGCCUUCUCUUUCAGUUUGCUCUUCAAACUCGGGAGCUUUCCCAAAAGAAGAAUGAACUCCAGCAACAAAUUAAAGUUUGCAGAGCUGACAUUGCUGAGAGGAGGACUUACAUUGAGUCACUGCAGAGAAAUAUAAAGAAACUUGAGGAGGAAACCAGGAUAAAACAAAGCACUGUGAAACACAAUAAAGCAAAUGCAAAAAGCAUGAAGGCAACAAACAGCCUGCUCCUUCAGUAUGAGCAGAUGCUAAAAGCAGAAUUAGAAAGCAGAAAAGCCAGCUACAACCAUGACAUGGAGGUCUAUGAAGAGCGAAUUAUAAGCUACAGAAAGAUAUUCCAGUCACAUAAAGAGUAUUAUUACCAGAAUCCUCUGGCUCAAAAGCUGCUCAUGCUGCAGGCUGAAAAAGAGGCGACUGACUGUAGGAUUAAGAUCUGUGAUGAGCAAAUUACAAUUAAACAGAAAGAGCUGGACCAUCUCACUGGUCCAGCUGCCAUUUCUUCUUCCACUGAGGAACCACUAGAGAAUGUAUCUGUCCAGGAACCCGCGACUGAACCUGAGAAACAAUCAGAUCCUCAGAUACAGGAGGACAGUGAUUCCUCCGUUGAUAUCUCCUCUGUUCAUCUCAACCAGACAACGAAUGGUCAUAAAGUAACUGUAGAGGUUAAUGCUGGAGAUAUUCAUGAGGAAAACAAGCUUCAGGAUACUAGCCUUUACCCAGAAGAAGCAAGCAAUGAGCUGUGGUCAUGUGAAAAGUUGGAUGAACAAAGACAGCGAAUUGAGAUCCCCACCACUGAGCACGACAAGGAAACUGCAAUACAGGACCAGGCUAUAGAACAGCAAACCACUUCAUCAGAGAUAGACGAACCAGUGGAGGAUGAAGGGGAGAAUAGUGUAUCUGUAGAUGAAGCUCAGGCACCAAGCAACUGCAACAAUGAGGCAUUUGCUGCUUUUUCUCAGUCCUCAUCUCAAGAAAUUAAUCAGUUCUCCUCCCCAGCAAAAGUGACAGCAGCAUCUUCAACCCAAACAUUUUCAUUUAACUUUAGCCCCGCCAGCUCACCACAUCAAGGGACCUCUGAUAGGAAAUCUCCAGCUUUCCUGUUCUCUCUGAACUCGGAUUCUGGCACCACAGGCUUUUCUGGAUUUGGAUUUGACAUGGGCUCAUCACAGGAUGAGGACUCAUCUUUCAUUUUCCCCGGCUCAUUCUUUAAUGAGAAGAAAACCACAGAAUCAAAGUCUUCAAGCUGCCCUGGGUUUCUCUUUGCCCAGUCAGAACAAGGUGAAGACUUUCAGUUUGCCUUCACAAACAAGAGCCCUCCAGAAACCAACAAAGAUAACAGGGAUGAGUUUCCAUUUUCGUUCAACUUUUGA